rnacentral:rRNA from 1 species
AUUGAACGCUGGCGGCAGGCUUAACACAUGCAAGUCGAGCGGGGUGAUGGUGCUUGCACUAUCACUUAGCGGCGGACGGGUGAGUAAUGCUUAGGAAUCUGCCUAUUAGUGGGGGACAACAUUUCGAAAGGAAUGCUAAUACCGCAUACGUCCUACGGGAGAAAGCAGGGGAUCUUCGGGCCUUGCGCUAUCAGAUGAGCCUAGGUCGGAUUAGCUAGUUGGUGAGGUAAUGGCUCACCAAGGCUACGAUCCGUAACUGGUCUGAGAGGAUGAUCAGUCACACUGGAACUGAGACACGGCCCAGACUCCUACGGGAGGCAGCAGUGGGGAAUAUUGGACAAUGGGGGGAACCCUGAUCCAGCCAUGCCGCGUGUGUGAAGAAGGCCUUAUGGUUGUAAAGCACUUUAAGCGAGGAGGAGGCUCUUUUGGUUAAUACCCAAGAUGAGUGGACGUUACCCGCAGAAUAAGCACCGGCUAACUCUGUGCCAGCAGCCGCAGUAAGAC